AAUGUACUUGAGAGAUGGGAAGGUAUGGAGCCAGGAUCCACCCCUUCCUAGCCCUCAUUUAAGGGCUGGCAGUGGAGGUGAGGAGAUCUUGUUGGAGGUCCCUGCAUACCUGAGGCCUUCUAAGGCCAGCCUUGCUCAUGGCACUGUUGGCAUUUCAGCACUCCUGGGGAGAAUGAGCUACCCCAAAACAAGCUGUGCUAGGAUGGUCUGUGCUCUCACUGCUUGAGAAGCUGCAAUGCUCUGUCAGCACCCAGGGUACCCCUCUACACGCCACCUGCACCCACACCCUGCCGUGGCACUGUACUCAUGUCAGCUUCUCCAUGGAUCUCACUCAUAAUGAGGACAGUUCUUAAUCUGUGAGACUUUCCAGGUGCUGAUUUCUGGGUGAGCAGUGAAUGACUGGAGAGCUCUGCAAGAGGCAAACCCCAAGGCUGAGGAUACGAAAUAGUCUGAGUGCUCAGAGAAUGCUAAUUACUUGCUGGGACCCUAGUAAUCUAGUGGCUGGGUGAUGAGUAACCGUAGUGCAGCACAGUCAAUGUCAUACAACAAUACUGUGAAUCUCUGGAUGAAGAAAUGUGACUGCUUUUCGCUUGUUUGCUUAUGUUAUUGUGAUUUCUUUGCAUGCUCAAUGGACUUGGCACAACAGCAGUAUCCUCAGGGCAGGAACCAUGCAAGCAGCUCACCCCAGCCCUGCUGUGUGGGGCCCAAUGAGGACACACUCAGUGCACACAGCCUGGGGAGCAGGAGGCUGCUGCAUCAACAGGGUUAAAGGGGAGCCUGACUACUGGACACUGCACUAACCAUGCUUUUUACCCAAACUGCUCAAUGUUAGCACUGCCCUGAGCAGGUCAUUCCAUGCAGACCUCUAGCAUUCCCUUCACACCCAAAUUAUUGCUGCUGGAUACACACUUGGGUCACCAGGCAGAGCUCUUCUCCAUCACUCCAGCAAUGCACAGCUGGACAGAGCUGUUUUCUGGCUCAUUUGAGCCACAGACCUCAGAGCAAAGACCUUGUCUCCCUGGGGGAAAAGGGCAGGCAGUUAGCAAAGGGAUUAGACUUCCCUCUCCCUGCUUCUGGGUCUGGCUCCCAAGUCACUUAUCUCCAAGGAAAAUGGUGAUGCUAACAUAUUCUGAAAGUAAGUUUAAAGUAUGAGAAUUAAUCACAGAAUCAUAGAAAUGCAAUGGUAGGGUUGGAAGAGAUAUUACAGCCCCGCCAGCUCCACCUACGCCAUGGGCUGGCUGCCCCCCACCAGCUCAGGCUCCCCUGUUGUGGUCUGUGGUCUUGGGCACCUCCAGAGGUGGGACAUCAACAGCUUCUCUGGACAGCAGUGCCAGGGCCUCAUCUCUCUGAGUAAAGAGUUUUCUUGUAAUAAGAAAUCGAUACCUCCCCUCUUUUAGCUUAAAAACUCCCGUCUCCUCACUCAGCCCUGGUCAGGCCAUAGUUGAA